UGUCUCUUUCCCAUGCCGGUCGCCGAUUCCUCCAGGAUAUGGCCGCCAGCCCGCCACAAGAUCUGCCUUCUCCACUAAUAUCCGGCACCGGAUCCAGCUUCCGCGGCCGGCACCUACCGCGGGGUCACACGCACAAGGCCAGUCACGCUGCGGCUAUACCACGACGCCGACGAGGAGCGAGGUUGGAUCACGCCAGCGGACGACGGAUCCACUGUCGUGGUCAUUGGGAUACCUACUCCGGCGAGGUUCCUCGAUCCCGACCACCCCAAUCCCGUCCAACAGCAUCCUUGUUGCCCCUGUAACCAUGCUCGCUGUUGGUGGAUCCGUGCAGCACGGGCACCACGAGGGGUCACCGGGCAUGGUGGUCGCCGGAUCCGGCGAAUCCAAGCCUAACCGUCACCAGAUCUGAUUGUCGGCCUCCUCUGCUCCUCCAAUUUCUGUGAAACCAAGUUAUAUCUAUAUAUGUGUGUAUAGUUGAGCUGUGCAAUAUAUAUGAAAUUUAUAUUUCAAUGUGUUGUUGCAAGUUGUGAAACUAAUUUCUAUGAAAUAUAUGGAAUUUACUUCCUUGAAAUA